rnacentral:rRNA from 1 species
UACAGAGGGUGCAAGCGUUUGUUCGGAAUUAUUGGGCGUAAAGCGCGUGUAGGCGGCUUUGCAAGUCGGGUGUGAAAGCCCUCAGCUCAACUGAGGAAGUGCGCCCGAAACUGCAGAGCUUGAGUGCCGGAGAGGGUGGCGGAAUUCCCCAAGUAGAGGUGAAAUUCGUAGAUAUGGGGAGGAACACCGGUGGGCGAAGGCAGG